AGCGAGCUACGACGAAUACCCCCCUGGUGUUGUUUUAAGAGAGUUGUUUUCACAGGGUUUCUGUUUCAUAUAAAGUUAGUGUUGAUUUUAUGUUGUUGAUAUAAAGUUAAUGUUGAUAUGAUGUUGUUUUUCCUAAGUUAGUGUUGUUUUACUGAGUGAGUGUUGUUUUAAGAGAGUUGUUUUCACAGGGUUUCUGUUUCAUAUAAAGUUAGUGUUGAUUUGAUGUUGUUGAUAUAAAGUUAAUGUUGAUAUGAUGUUGUUUUUCCUAAGUUAGUGUUGUUUAUACUGAGUGAGUGUUGUUUUAAGAGAGUUGUUUUCACAGGGUUUCUGUUUCAAAUAAAGUUAGUGUUGAUUUGAUGUUGUUGAUAUAAAGUUAAUGUUGAUAUGAUGUUGUUUUUCCUAAGUUAGUGUUGUUUAUACUGAGUGAGUGUUGUUUUAAGAGAGUUGUUUUCACAGGGUUUCUGUUUCAUAUAAAGUUAGUGUUGAUUUGAUGUUGUUGAUAUAAAGUUAGUGUUGAUUUGAUGUCGUUUCAUAUAAAGUUAGUGUUGAUUUGAUGUUGUUGAUAUAAAGUUAAUGUUGAUUUGAUGUCGUAUCAUACAGAGCUAGUGUUGUGUUGUUUCAUACAAAGCUGGUGUUGUUUUAAGAGAGUUGUUUUCACAGGGUUUCUGUUUCAUAUCAAGUUAGUGUUGAUUUGAUGUCGUUGAUAUAAAGUUAAUGUUGAUAUGAUGUUAUUGAUAUAAAGUUAGUGUUGAUUUGAUGUCGUUUCAUAGAGAGCUGGUGUAGAUUAGAUGUUGUUUUUCCUAAGUUAGUGUUGAUUAUACUGAGUAAGUGUUGUUUUACUGAGUGAGUGUUGAUUUGAUGUCGUAUCAUAGAGAGCUAGUGUUGUUUUGAUGUUGUUGAUAUGAAGUUAGUGUUGAUUUGAUGUCGUAUCAUAGAGAGCUAUGUUGUUUUGAUGUCGUAUCAUACAGAGUUAGUGUUGUUUUCCAGGCAUGGCGUCGAAUGUGGUGAGAGAGAGAUGGAGGGAGAGAGAGAGAGAGAGGGGAAGAGAUUUGAUGUCGUAUCAUACAGAGCUAGUGUUGAUUUGAUGUCGUUUCAUAGAGAGUUACGGUGCAAACCCAUGACAGCGACGCGAUACGCUUCCAUCACUUUGAGUGGGCGUGUUGUAACGUGUGGAAAUAGCAUUUUCAAACUGUCAGAGACGACACCAAACAUUCUGAUUGGCCGC
ensembl:lncRNA